UGUUUGUUCCCCUUUUCUUUAUCUUCUUUCAUUUCCUAGAUUAAUGCUUCAUUUUGUUUGUUUUUUUGGUUGGAAUUUAAUCUGAUUUUUUAUUGGGUUCACUGUUGUUGAUUGUGUUUGUUUAGCAUUUUUGAGAUGUGGUUUUAUCAUUUUAGGGUUUGAAAUCACAAGUUUUAAUUUUGAAAUUAAGUUACGAAUUCUUGAAAUCAUGGACCUAGCUUCUUCAAUUCAAUUCGAUUUCGAUCAAGUUGUGUGAUUUCUCAGAAUUAUCAUCGAUGCUAUGUUUGAAUUUUCUGCGUUUUUCUCUCUCUCUUUAGCUGAAGAAUCAUGCGUUUGAAUGGUGCCUGGAUUUUCUAUAGAACAUACGGCCAUGGACACGUGAAAGUUCUUCUUAUAAUUGGUUUAGCUGGGAUACAUGAUUCAUGGGGCCUCAAAUCAGAGGGUUGGCUGGGACUGAGGUACCCAAUGAUGAUGAAUCAACGGUGGUCGGUUGAUGAUGCGAAUGCAGGGAAUGGGAGUAUGGAGGUUUGUGCAGGGAACGGGUCUGGAGCUUGGCUCCUAUGAAAGGUCCGAGUAUACGUAAUUUUUUUACAAGAAUGGUUAUUUUUUUUUUAUUGAAUUUGAUGUUUAUUUGUGGAAUUGUUGAACAAUUUUGAAUUAUGAGAUGAACUCACAUUAGGAGGUGGUAGUGGUGUCAAACAACAAACUUCAGGCUUCAGAUUCAAAGAUAACUUUAAACCGAUGUCAUAUUAGAGCUGAUUGUCUGAUACAAGUGAAUUUGAUGCGAUUUGAGAUCCAAUACAACAGAAUAGCUGAUUGUCUGCUAGGGUUUAUGCUCGGACAAUGUUUUUAGGUUGAAAUAAGCCCUUGAUUGAACUGAACUGAAUAGUGAGAGAACUGCAAUUUUUGCAUUGUGUUUUUUUUUUGUUAUUGAUCACUAUUCCAAACUUUGGAUUUGUGACUUACACUAAUGUGUUUGAUGCCAAUUUUUAUAUUUUAGUGUCGGCAUUGAACAAAGCUGGGUACCCUGAUAUGUAAAUCAUAGUAGGAGAAGUAGGUUGGCCAACUCAUGGUGAUAUACAUACCAAAUCUUUCUGAAUUGUUGGUGGCAGACUGGCAGUUAAAUAGGUUCCGAAUCCGAAUUAGUAAAAACUCGAGUCGGUUCAGUCAGUUUAAGAUAAUAUUUUUUUCUGGGUUUACUUUGUUGCGUUUGUUCUGCUAUUCCUCUUCAAUUUGACGUCUAAUUGGUUGUUGUUUAACCGUGUGCUGCCCCGUUUAAGCUCAACACAGACGCUGCUAUCAAGGAGGGAGUGCUUAAAAUGGGCGUGCAACAGCAAUUUAAAAACUGGAUGUUGCAAACAACCAGAUACCGAGUUUUUAGCUCAGGUUUCUAUGGUUUCAAGGCUAAAACAUGACAAUUUUGUUGAAUUGCUUGGUUAUUGUGUUGAUGGCAACCUACGCAUUCUUGCCUAUGAGUUUGCAUCAAAUGGAUCUCUGCAUAACAUCCUUCACGGUCUACUUAGUUAUCUCCAAGGAGCUGAAUUGGAAGAAGGAAGGAAGCCAGGAUGAUAUCAUUGGAUGUUAAACAGCUACUAGAAGGAAGGUAACAAGUUGUCAUUAAAGAUGGUGCAAGGUGGGGAUCAGGGCCUGCAACAAUGUAAUGCACAAGGGUCUGAUGCUGGCCACUAACAGAUUUUUUGAUUGAUGUAAUUGUUGUGAUUAGUUGAAUAUGAACUUAGAUUGCAAAAUUA